AUCCAGCUGACGAGUCCCAAAUAGGACGAGACGUGUGUCGUGGGU
rfam:Schistosoma mansoni strain Puerto Rico chromosome 4, complete genome